UCCCUGGUGGUCCAGUGGUUAAGACUCCGCGCUACCAAUGCCGGGGGCCUGGGUUCGAUCCCUGGUUAGGGAA